rnacentral:rRNA from 1 species
AGAAUCAACGCUGGCGGCGUGCCUAACACAUGCAAGUCGCACGAGAAAGGGACUUCGGUCCUGAGUAAAGUGGCGCACGGGUGAGUAACACGUGACUAACCUACCCUUGAGUGGGGGGAUAACCUAGGGAAACCUGGGCUAAUACCGCAUAAUACCUUCGGGUCAAAGGAGCAAUUCGCUUAAGGAGGGGGUCGCGGCCGAUUAGUUAGUUGGCGGGGUAAUGGCCCACCAAGACUGUGAUCGGUAUCCGGCCUGAGAGGGCGCACGGACACACUGGAACUGAAACACGGUCCAGACUCCUACGGGAGGCAGCAGUGGGGAAUUUUGCGCAAUGGGGAAACCCUGGACGCAGCAACGCCGCGUGGAGGAUGAAGUCCCUUGGGACGUAAACUCCUUUCGAUCGGGACGAUUAUGACGGUACCGGAAGAAGAAGCCCCGGCUAACUUCGCGCCAGCAGCCGC